ACAAGAGUGAGAAUGGUGAGGCAUAUCAGAGAAAGAAGGCGGCAGCCACUGGCCUUCCAGAGGGUCCUGCUGUCCCUGUGCCUUCUCGAGGGAAUCUGGCACAGCCCGGCGGCAGCAGCUGGAGGAGGAUCGCACUGCUCAUCUUGGCCAUCACUAUACACAACGUUCCAG
rnacentral:misc_RNA from 1 species